UUAGGCCAUUGCCUGCAGCUGAUGGGCUCCAAAAAGAGCAAAACUAGUAGGUCCUGCAGUACUGGACAAAAGAACU
rnacentral:hammerhead_ribozyme from 1 species